GACACCUACUUGGAGGAGGCUGUUCUUCAGCCCGUUCUCCUAUCGAAAUGUCUGUGGGAUUCUCCUGGUGGAAGAGGUCAAGGGUCCAUUCUUCAGCUUUUCCACCCUGUUUGCUGCUGCGGAGACUGAUCUACAGACCACAACAACAGGUACCCUAGUUUUCUGACUUCCAGAGGGUUUGGCUAAUGGGGAGUUCUGGAAGGAGACUGGAGGAAAGAGAGUGAGGGCAAGGUAUUUACUCCUCUAGCUCCCUCAGCACGGGGCUGCCUCGGGCUAGCUGUGUCUCUCUGACAGAAAGUUAUUGCUUGCCUCUGAAAGUGCCUUUCUCUAACAAGAGUCUCUUUCCAGGUUCUAGGAACUGCUUCCUCUCUUUUUGGGUCUAGGAGCUGCUUCCAAACAGCCCUGCUGAUACAAGACCCUUGAUUCCACUACAAUGCCACGCUUGUAAAUAGUCCCUUUAUAAAACCCUCCUCAACAGCCGGGCGCGAUGGCUCACGCCUGUAAUCCCAGCA